rnacentral:misc_RNA from 1 species
UGCUUGACCCCUUCUUGCUCUCACAUGAAUAUAGUCUUGCUUAGGUGGCUCGGAUAGGUUACUGUUUUGCUCAGAUGGCUUCUUAUUGGCAACAGAAUUUGGUUCUGCUUCAGCUUUUGAAUUGCUGCUCUCAUUCCGGGAUCCUGAUAUUUUCAUCCGCUUACCAUUUGAAUCAUUCAAUUCGUUGCCACUGCUGGAAGUAGAAACCAUCUUAAAUGACUCGUCUUCUGAGCUCAAAUCCUUCCUCUUCCUCACAUUCCCACCACCUCUGCCAACGCUCUGCUCCGUCACGGUGGAUUCCUCCACCGACCCAUCUCGCUCUCCAACUACCCCAGCCAAAUUCCCCAUUCGGAGACCCAACCCACCACCCCCGCCCGCCUGUCCAUUAAUUGAGGGAAAAGGCCAAAUCUCGGUCAAAGUGUAGGAAGAUGGAUUAGCUGCAGAGAAGGAGGUCUCAUUUAUCAAUGGAGGAUCCAUACUCUUCUCCUGAGUUCGAGCUCAUUCGAGAAGGCGGGCCUGGGAAUUCGAGACCCGAAUUGACGACUCUGAAUUAUAGAGGCACAAUUCAGCUUUUUUCUUUUUUUUUUUUCGCUUACUCGGUUUUGAGGAAUUUUGAGUGAGCCAGUGAGUUGAGGCUUAGAUGAUGGGUUAUUGAAGAAAUGAUUUGCAGAGAAGCGUGGCAGCAGCACAGGGUGAUAUUUUUCACUCGAGGAUGGAGAAGGCGGGCGCAUUACCGCCAACGGCGCAUUUUAUCCGCGAUAGGUCGGGUACGGUUUAUGAUCGAAACCGAACAAUG